AUAGUACUCCCUCCGUCCCGAAUUAGUUGUCUUAGAUUUGUCUAGAUACGUAUGUAUCUAGACACGUUUUAGUGCUAGAUACAUCCGUAUAUAGACAAAUCUAAGACAACUAAUUUAGGACGGAGGUAGUAACAA
rfam:Triticum urartu cultivar G1812 contig1025760, whole genome shotgun sequence.